ACUCAAAUGAAUUGACGGGGGCCCGCACAAGCAGUGGAGCAUGUGGUUUAAUUGGAUGCUACGCCAAGAACCUUACCAAGAUUUGACUUCCCGGUGUAACCUCGGAGAAACUCGAGGCCCCUUCGGGCACCGGUGACAGGUGGUGCAUGGUUGUCGUCAGCUCGUGCCGUGAGGUGUUGGAUUAAGUUCCGCAACGAGCGCAACCCUCGUGUUUAGUUGCCAUCAUUCAGUUGGGCACUCUAGACAGACUGCCGGCGUCAAGCCGGAGGAAGGUGGGGAUGACGUCAAAUCAUCAUGCCCCUUACAUCUUGGGCUACACACGUGCUACAAUGGGCGAUACAAUAGGUUGCCACACCGCGAGGUGGAGCGAAUCCCUAAAGUCGUCCUCAGUUCGGAUUGCAGGCUGCAACUCGCCUGCAUGAAGCUGGAAUUGCUAGUAACCGUGCAUCAGCAUGGCGCGGUGAAUACGUACCCGGGCCUUGUACACACCGCCCGU
rnacentral:rRNA from 1 species